GAUGAAGAACGCAGCGAAAUGCGAAAAGUAGUGUGAAUUGCAGAAUUCAGUGAAUCAUCGAAUCUUUGAACGCACAUUGCGCCCCUUGGUAUUCCAUGGGGCAUGCCUGUUCGAGCGUCAUUUUGUACCCUCAAGCACUGCUUGGUGUUGGGCGUUUGUCCUGCAGAGGACUCGCCUGAAAGCGAUUGGCGGCCAACGUAGUCGUGGCAGAGCGCAGCGCAAUCUCGCGUCUCUCCCCUCUGCGUCGGCGUCCAUGAAGCCCACAAUCUCAACGUUUGACCUCGGAUCAGGUAGGGAUACCCGCUGAACUUAAGCAUAUCAAUAAGCGGAGGA
rnacentral:misc_RNA from 1 species